rnacentral:pre_miRNA from 1 species
CUUAUGCUCCCUCCGUCCGGAAAAACUUGUCAUCAAAAUGGAUAAAAGGGAAUGUACCUAGAUGUAUUUUAGUUCUAGAUACAUCUUCUUUUAUCCAUUUUGAUGACAAGUAUUUUCGGACGGAGGGAGUAGGUG